GGGCCCCAAUGUGAGUGCAUGUACAAUGGGCUGAGGAAACUUCACCAGUGGAGCUGAUGAUAACCCAAGCCUUCAGAGGAGCUGCUCCUGUCUGGCUUCACUGCACUCGUGCAAAAAGUAUUUUACAAACCACUGGGCCAAACAGGAUUAAUGCAAUAAGAAAGGUGAAGUAGGUCAAUAUUUCAGAUGAGAAAGUAAGACUUUUUCACAGUACUGUACUGUAGGGGGUUGGGCAAAGUAAUGUGAACGCCUGGGAAGUAUGAUAUUGGAUACAUGAAUCUCUCUAAAUUAUCAUCAACAUGAUAAAAAUAGUUGAAAACCUGUUGUAUAAUCAUGAUUAUGAUCAUGCAUUACCAAUUAUAAUUCCCUAUUAACAUAUUGCCAUACUGGUAUUCUUCGGGUGCACUCCCAUAUUCAAUAUGCAGAUAUCUCCUUGCACUGUACAAAAUCUACAACAACUCGUUAUCUUUUAUUAUAUUACAGUUUUUUUCAGUUGCUAACAAGCAUUUACCAAUACUUAAAGUACUUUUUCUAAACUCUUAACACAGCAACACACAUACAUCACACAAUUAGCCAAAU